CGAAUGAGAAGGGGGGACGAGAGAGAGGGAGAGAGAGAGUGAAAGGGUCCGAAAGACAGAGUAUUGGUGGUGGUGGAGUUAAAAGACUACAAUUGACCAGUUCUUAAAGUAAUUGACUAUGGGGAACCCGAACCGUUGCUGAAUGGAGGGGUGACGUUCAUAUCUAGCUCUCAGAACCAGCAUCUCUCAGUCAGUUAUUACCACUGCAAUGAGCUGUACUACACUCUCUCUAAAAGAGUUAAUGGACCCGAGUCCUGGGACCAGGCCUCAGGACUACCUGGCUUGAUGACUCCUUGCUAUCCUCAGUCCACCUGGUUGUGCUGCUCCAGGUUCAACUGUUCUGCCUGUGGCUAUGGAACUCUGACCUGUUUACUGGACAUGCUACCUUGUCCCGGACCUGCUGUUUUCGACUCUCUCACUCUACCGCACCUGCUGUCUCUAACUCUGAAUGCUCUGCUAUGAAAAGCCAACUGACAUUUACUCCUGAGAUGCUGACCUGUUGCACCCUCUACAACCACUGUGAUUAUUAUUAUUAUUUGCCCUGCUGGUCAUCUAUGAACCUUUGAACAUCUUGGCCAUGUUCUGUUAUAAUCUCCACCUGGCACAGCCAGAAGAGGACUGGCCACCCCUCAUAGCCUGGUUCCUCUCCAGGUUUCUUCCUAGGUUCUGGCCUUUCUAUGGAGUUUUUCCUAGCCACCGUGCUUCUACAACUGCAUUGCUUGCUGUUUUGUGUUGUAGGCUGGGUUUCUGUACAGCACUUUGAUAUAGCUGAUGUAUAUCAGCUGAUGUAAGAAGGGCUAUAUAAAUACAUUUGAUUUGAUUUGAUAUUCUCAUGCAUCUCACGCUUGUUAUUUCUGUUUGUCUGACUGUUUCUCUGUCUAUUUGUUUAUAUUAUUGACUCUCUCUUUCUCUUCAUACUUUCCUUCUCUCUCAUUCUCUCUAUUAAACUUGUGUCCCACCUUUCUCUCUCUAUCGCCCCCCCCUUUCUCUCACUCUAGCUUUCUCUUUUCUCUCCUUUCCCUCCCCCCUCUCUCUCUUUCUGUCUUCGUCCACUCCCCCAGCCUCUGUUUGUUCCUUCUGCCCCUCUGUGCCAUGUCAAUGCUCUUGGGGUGGAUGGAGUCUCCAGGCUAUCCUCUACAGGAUAGGUGGGUCCCCCACGGGACUGUCGAGCUAACGUAGGCUAAUGUGAUUAGCAUGUGGUUGUAAGUAAACAAGAACAUUUCCCAGGACAUAGACUUAUCUGAUAUUGGCAGAAAGCUUAAAGUAUUGUUAAUCUAACUGCACUAACUCCAAUUUACAUUAGCUAUUACAGUGAAAUAGUGUCAUGCUAUUGUUUGUGGAGAGUGCACAAUUAUGAACUUGAAAACGUAUUAAUAAACCAAUUAGGCACAUUUGGACAGUCUUGAUACAACAUUUUGAACAGAAAUAAACUUUACACAUACACAUACAGUCUUAAACUUUAUACAUACACUGCUGCCAUCUAAUGGCCAAAAUAUUAAUUGUGCCUGGGCUGGAAUAAUAAAUUAUGGUAUUUCUCUUGCAUUUCAAAGAUGAUGGUACAAAUAAAUAUACCAAAAAAUG